UACGUAGGUGGCAAGCGUUGUCCGGAUUUAUUGGGUUUAAAGGGUGCGUAGGCGGCUUUGUAAGUCAGUGGUGAAAUAUGGCAGCUCAACUGUCAGGGUGCCAUUGAUACUGCGGAGCUUGAGUACAGAUGAGGUAGGCGGAAUUGACGGUGCAGCGGUGAAAUGCUUAGAUAUCGUCAAGAACACCGAUAGCGAAGGCAGCUUACUGGGCUGUAACUGACGCUGAGGCACGAAAGUGUGGGGAUCAAACAGG
rnacentral:rRNA from 1 species